GAUGUGGGAUUUCGAAGACAACUAGGAUGUUGGCUUAGAAGCAGCCAUACAUUUAAAGAGUGCGUAAUAGCUCACUAGUCGAGAAAACCUGCGCCGAAAAUUAUCGGGGCUAAAACACGAUACCGAAGCUACGGACUCACGCCAAGCGUUGAGUGGUAGAGGAGCAUCCUGUAAGGACGAAGCCAUAGCGAGAGCAAUGGUGGACGAAACAGGAGAGAGAAUGCCGGAAUGAGUAGCGAGAUAGAAGUAAGAAACUUCUAGGCCGAAUAUCUAAGGUUUCCUGGGUAAAGCUAAUCUUCCCAGGGUAAGUCGGGACCUAAGGCGAGGACGAGAGUCGUAGUCGAUGGACAACUGGUAGAGAUUCCAGUACUGCGAAUAAUCAGAACUGUGGGGACACAGGAGGAUAGGCAAACCGGGAAAUGGAAAAGCCCGGUCAAGUACAAAGGUCUAGACGGUAGGCAAAUCCGCCGUCAUAUGCUGAAGUACGAUGAGGACCGAAUAAUAGUAGGGAAGUUGCCAAAUCCACACUGUCGAGAAAAGCCGCUAUUGUGUUAUUCGUACCCGUACCGUAAACCGACACAGGUAGAUGAGGAGAAAAUCCACAGGCCGACGGGAGAAGUGUUGUUAAGGAACUCGGCAAAAUGACCCCGUAACUUAGGGAGAAGGGGAGCCACAGCAAUGUGGUCACAGAAAAGAGGCUCAAGCGACUGUUUAGCAAAAACACAGGUCUCUGCGAAACCGUAAGGUGAAGUAUAGGGGCUGACACCUGCCCGGUGCUGGAAGGUUAAAAGGAGAGGUUAGGAGCAAUCCGAAGCUUUGAAUUCAAGCCCCAGUAAACGGCGGCCGUAACUAUAACGGUCCUAAGGUAGCGAAAUUCCUUGUCAGGUAAGUUCUGACCCGCACGAAAGGUGUAACGAUUUGAGCACUGUCUCGACAACACGCCCGGUGAAAUUGAAGAACCAGUGAAGAUACUGGUUACCCGCAACAGGACGGAAAGACCCCAUGGAGCUUUACUGCAGCCUGAUACUGGGAUUCGAUGAUAUAUGUACAGGAUAGGAGGGAGACUGAGAACCCGGAACGCCAGUUUCGGAGGAGUCGCCGGUGGGAUACCUCUCUUAUAUCAUUGGAUUUCUAACCUGCAUCUGUAAUCCAGAUGAGGGACAAUGUCAGGCGGGCAGUUUGACUGGGGCGGUCGCCUCCUAAAAGGUAGCGGAGGCGCUCGAAGGUCACCUCAGAAUGAUUGGAAACCAUUCAAAGAGUGUAAAGGCAAAAGGUGGCUUGACUGCGACACCGACGGGUGGAGCAGGUACGAAAGUAGGACUUAGUGAUCCGGUGGUAUUAAGUGGGAAUGCCAUCGCUCAACGGAUAAAAGCUACCCUGGGGAUAACAGGCUUAUCUCCCCCAAGAGUUCACAUCGACGGGGAGGUUUGGCACCUCGAUGUCGGCUCAUCGCAUCCUGGGGCUGAAGUAGGUCCCAAGGGUUGGGCUGUUCGCCCAUUAAAGCGGUACGCGAGCUGGGUUCAGAACGUCGUGAGACAGUUCGGUCCCUAUCCGUUGUGGGCGCAGGAUAUUUGAGAGGAGCUGUCCUUAGUACGAGAGGACCGGGAUGGACAUACCUCUGGUGUACCAGUUGCAAACCGAUUGCACAGCUGGGUAGCUAUGUAUGGAACGGAUAAACGCUGAAGGCAUCUAAGCGUGAAGCCGCCCUCAAGACUAGAUAUCCCAUUCU
rnacentral:rRNA from 1 species